rnacentral:lncRNA from 1 species
UCUUAAUGUGUAUUAUACUCUAAACUUUUAUUGAUUUAUUUCUUCACUGAAAUAUAUAUUGAGAGUUGGUAAUAUGCCAGGUGAACAUGAAUAUGUCACGAACUAGAAGCAACAUGGUGAGCAGGUGGAUAUGAUUAUGGUAUCUAAGACAGGAGGCCCUACUUUCAGUUCUUAUGUCUGAAAGGAAGGAAGGAAGAAAAAAAAAGAGGUGAGGCAUGUUCAGAGCUUCAUAUAAAAUUUCAUGGUUAUUUUACUCUUUGGGUAACUAAGACAUUUCCAGAUUGCUUAAUCUAAUCAUUUUUCUCUUCCAGAGUUUGAACUGAUGCAUGUAGAUGAGUUCAUUGAUGAACUACUGCACAGUGAGCGAGUCUGUGAUAUCAUUUUGCCUCGGCUACAGAAACGGUAUGUGCUGGAGGAAGCUGA